AGUUUGAUCCUGGCUCAGAUUGAACGCUGGCGGCGUGCUUAACACAUGCAAGUCGUGCGAGAAAGGGGGCUUCGGUCCCUGAGUAGAGCGGCGCACGGGUGAGUAGCGCGUGGAUAAUCUCCCCAGAAGUUCGGGAUAACGGCGGGAAACUGCCGCUAAUACCGGAUACGCUCCAAUUUCGGUUGGGGGAAAGGCGGCCUCUGUUUACAAGCUGUCGCUUCUGGAUGAGUCCGCGUCCCAUUAGCUUGUUGGUGGGGUAAUGGCCUACCAAGGCUACGAUGGGUAGCUGGUCUGAGAGGAUGAUCAGCCACACUGGAACUGAAACACGGUCCAGACUCCUACGGGAGGCAGCAGUGGGGAAUAUUGCGCAAUGGGGGAAACCCUGACGCAGCGACGCCGUGUGAGGGAUGAAGGCUUUCGGGU
rnacentral:rRNA from 1 species